AAACUUUCAACAACGGAUCUUUUGGUUCGGGCAUCGAUGAAGAACGCAGCGAAAUGCGAUAAGUAAUGUGAAUUGCAAAACUCAGCGAAUCAUCGAAUCUUUGAACGCACAUUGCGCCCGGGAGUAUUCUUCCGGGCAUGCCUGUUCGAGCGUCAUUU
rnacentral:rRNA from 1 species